UUUCCGUAGGUGAACCUGCGGAAGGAUCAUUACAGAGUUCAUGCCCUCACGGGUAGAUCUCCCACCCUUGAAUAUUUAUACCUUAGUUGCUUUGGCAGGCCGUGGAAACACCAUGGGCUCCGGCUUAUGCGUGCCUGCCAGAGGAAACAAACUCUGUUUUUAGUGAUGUCUGAGUACUAUAUAAUAAUUAAAACUUUCAACAACGGAUCUCUUGGUUCUG
rnacentral:misc_RNA from 1 species